AAGACUGCAGUCGAGCGCCAUUAAUGGGUAGUAAUACUUGUUAUGCGGAGCGGCAAACGGGUGAGUAACACGUGGGAAUCAACCCAGAAGCAAGGAAUAGCCUACCGAAAGGGAGAUUAAUGCCUUAUGUGACCGAAAGGUUAAAGAUUUAUCACUUCUGGACGAGCCCGCGCCCUAUCAGGUAGUUGGUGAGGUAAUGGCUCACCAAGCUUACGACGGGUAGCUGGUCUGAGAGGACGGUCAGCCACACUGGAACUGAGACACGGUCCAGACACCUACGGGUGGCAGCAGUCGAGAAUCUUUCACAAUGGGCGAAAGCCUGAUGGAGCGACGCCGCGUGGAGGAUGAAGGAUUUAGGUUCGUAAACUCCUGUCACCAGGGAGAAUAAUGAUAGUACCUGGAGAGGAAGAGACGGCUAACUCUGUGCCAGCAGCCGCGGUAAUACAGAGGUCUCAAGCGUUGUUCGGAUUCACUGGGCGUAAAGCGAGUGUAGGAGGCAUUGUAAGUCGGAUGUGAAAGCUCUGGGCUCAACCCAGAGACUGCAUUCGAUACUGCAAAGCUAGAGGGUCGGAGAGGUAACUGGAAUUUCCGGUGUAGCGGUGAAAUGCGUAGAUAUCGGAAGGAACACCAACGGCGAAGGCAAGUUACUGGAAGACACCUGACUCUGAGACUCGAAAGCUAGGGUAGCGAACGGGAUUAGAUACCCCGGUAGUCCUAGCCGNUAACGUUGCACAUUAGGUGUUGGCGGAAUCGACCCCGUCAGCGCCGUAGCUAACGCGUUAAAUGUGCCCCCUGGGAAGUACGGCCGCAAGGGCUAAACUCAAAGAAAUG
rnacentral:rRNA from 1 species